rnacentral:rRNA from 1 species
GACGAACCGUGCGAACGUUAUUCGGAUUCACUGGGCUUAAAGGGCGCGUAGGCGGACGAGCAAGUCCGGGGUGAAAUCUUUCGGCUUAACCGGAAAAGUGCCUGGGAAACUGCUCGUCUUGAGGGAGGUAGGGGCCUGUGGAACUUCCGGUGGAGCGGUGAAAUGCGUAGAUAUCGGGAGGAACACCAGUGGCGAAGGCGACUACCUGGCCUGUUCUUGACGCUGAGGCGCGAAAGCUAGGGGAGCAAACGGG